UACGUAGGGCGCAAGCGUUGUCCGGAAUUAUUGGGCGUAAAGAGCUCGUAGGCGGCUUGUCGCGUCGGAUGUGAAAGCCCGGGGCUUAACCCCGGGUCUGCAUUCGAUACGGGCAGGCUAGAGUGUGGUAGGGGAGAUCGGAAUUCCUGGUGUAGCGGUGAAAUGCGCAGAUAUCAGGAGGAACACCGGUGGCGAAGGCGGAUCUCUGGGCCAUUACUGACGCUGAGGAGCGAAAGCUAGGGGAGCAAACGGG
rnacentral:rRNA from 1 species